rnacentral:tRNA from 1 species
GGGAAGUUGGCUCAGUGGUAGAGCGCUAGCCUUGCAUGCCUGAGGCCCUGGGUUCAAUUCCUCAGUACCA